rnacentral:rRNA from 1 species
GACUCUCGGCAACGGAUAUCUCGGCUCUCGCAUCGAUGAAGAACGUAGCGAAAUGCGAUACCUGGUGUGAAUUGCAGAAUCCCGCGAACCAUCGAGUCUUUGAACGCAAGUUGUGCCCGAGGCCACUCGGCCGAGGGCACGCCUGCCUGGGCGUCA